rnacentral:lncRNA from 1 species
GCCAAAAGUGAGGCUGGGAAAUCCUGGUGGGCAACUCGGAACCAUCUCAUCCCGUGGAGCUACGCUGGCAGGAAGGGACUCUAAGUCCUUCACAGCCCUCUUCCUGUGGUCCCCCUGCCCCAGAAGCUGACCUACCUCACAUCACCACUUCCCAUAGCCUGAAAGACAGGCUCACUGGAAGGAUCAGGAAGCCAGCAUCCUCCCACCCACCCCCUGCAGGUGCCUGUGGCUUCUUCCGGGUCAGUGGAGGAGCCAGGCUGCCAGCUCUUGGAUCCAUCCGCUGCCCCCUGUGGCUGGCAAGGUGUGAGGCUGAGUUGUUAAAAGUCUAGCAAGGAAGAUGGGACUUUCUCACCCCUGGUGUCUGGAUACAGUGCUGGCUCUGGAAUUUCCCUGGGCGCUCAGCCCAGAAGGAAGGAGAGAGAAGAAAAGGAAAGAAAGCAAGAGAGCAGCAGAUGGCCGCCAGAGAGCCCUGGCCAUCAGAACAAGAGGUAGGAGACAAAGACUUGGAGGAGGUGAGCUGUGUGUCUCAUGCUGGGUGGUGCCCUUGCUCUCCUCAAGCAGCUGAGCCCCAAGCCCCUCUAGGUACUUCAGCAAAGAUGUUCUCACCCUGCAGCAGC